rnacentral:lncRNA from 1 species
ACGGAAUUGAAAAGAGCUCUCUGCAGUCAUUACAUAGCAAACACUUACGGCUUGGCUUAAACUUGCUUCUUAUUCUCUCCCCCUCACGCUCCCCAGACAUGUACACACUCAUCCACAGAUAUUUGCCUGCACAAGGACACUCCACAGCUUUGGAUCCCUUCUGUUUUUAAAAUGAAAAGGACUGUCCCCGUAUGCCUUUGGAUUACAGCUAUUAUUCCUACCUUUUAAAAUGCAUUCAAUACGUGCUUUCUCAUACACAGAUGAAGUGAGCAUCACUUACUGCUUGGCCAUCACACCCACAUCUUUAAGAAGAUACAUUUUUGAUUCUGCUUAGAAGGUGUAAAGGUUUAAGAGAUAUUUCUGCAAAUAUAUAUGUGUGUAUAUAUAUACAUUUACAGAUAUGAUUGCAUUGCUAUUGCAAUGACUUAGCCUGGCUUUGAAGCACUUGAGGUAAACGUGCCAGUUCUGGACUACGGUGAGGUUGCUAGUCUUGGCUAUUCAUACACCUCUCUGGUUUACAGCUCUCUGCUGGAUAUGAUGAGAGAGAUUUAUUUGUGGAGUGGGCAGAGACAGAAGUGCGUUGUCGCAUGAAAUUUUUUUUAAAGGGUUAUUAAUUACCAUGUCAACCUUUGCUGUGCUGCUGCUGCCCACUUUUAUUUCGGAAGCACAGCCGUUCGGCGCUCUUACCACAUUGGGUUCCCCAAUCACCCCGUUUUCAAACAACCUCUUAAAAUUUUAUUUAUUAUUCCUUAUACAUCAGGAUGGAGGAGACGGAGAGGGGCAGCAUGGCAGAGACGGGAAACACGAUCCAGAAAACAUGCUUGCCUUGAAUUGUCAUCACCCUGCCGUUGGAAGGGGAGAGCCGGAAAAACUAGCAACAAACACUCGCACGCAAACACACGCCAGGCACACACCACAUCGAUCACGGGGAGUUUGCGAGCAGCCCCGUGGCUCUUACCUGGGUUGUCUGGGAUCCCUCUGCAGUGCACCUCCCUCAGCUCCCUCUCCCCCUAUUCCUGCCCCCGGUGGGGAGCAGCGGGGCCGGUGCCGGUGCUGUGGCGGGGUGACGGUGCAGGUAGGGGACGGCAGGCGGCUGGCUGCAGCCUCGGCUGCCGGGCUCUGGCUCCUGCCAGGGCUGCUGCUGCUGCUGCUGCUGCUGCUCCUGAUGAUGCUGAGGAGGAGGAGAGCGAGUGAGGAGGAGGAGGAGGAUGCUGGCGGUGAUGCUGUUGCUAUGGUUACCCAACUCGGCGGCGCGGAGCUGCUGGGCGCAACAGCUGCCCCAGCACCCAGAUCUCCUCCUCGGCACCCACCGAAGGGCCCUGGGUUAGACGGGUACGGAGGGGUCACCCCAAAGCCCUUCCAGAGGGAGGAUGGAGGUCGCUCGCUCUUCGGAGCUCGGAGAAAACAGGCAGCAAUGUGCCUAAAAUGUUUGCACGGAAAUAAAGUCCCUGCACGCUCCUGGGCGAAAAGCUUGCUGCCCUGUGAAGGUCGAAUACCAGCUUCUGCGAGGCCAGGGUUUUAUUUUCGGGGCUGCUCUGCAUUUCUGUUACGAAGGGAACAAAACAGCAAAGCAGAGGAGGGGAGUAAUUUUCAAAGUUCCUGUUCUGAUGAGAACCUGGAACCACCCAUCUGAGGAGCAAAAUGCACCAGCCAGCACUCAUUAAAUCAGACUUCCUUGGAAUAACUUCCCAUUUCCCUGUCUUUAUGUAUCUUAUAAAAUUAGUUGCUAUAUACAUCAUUGCUGCUAUAGGGUUUUUAAUUAAUAUUUUUAAUAUUAAUUCAGGCAGCAAUUCUGAUCCCCGAUCAGAUACUAUAUGGAAUAGUUGUCUCAGAGGGCUUUUCUACCACUCAGAAAAUGAAAGAAAAAAUGUUAUCUGUUUUAACCUUUAAAAUGGCACACAUGUAAAAUUAUACAGUAUUCUGAACCUGAAAAAUAAACUGAAAAACAGUACUUGGUGUAUGGCCCA